GACGAACGCUGGCGGCGUGCUUAACACAUGCAAGUCGAACGGAAAGGCCCUGCUUUUGUGGGGUGCUCGAGUGGCGAACGGGUGAGUAACACGUGAGUAACCUGCCCUUGACUUUGGGAUAACUUCAGGAAACUGGGGCUAAUACCGGAUAGGAGCUCCUGCUGCAUGGUGGGGGUUGGAAAGUUUCGGCGGUUGGGGAUGGACUCGCGGCUUAUCAGCUUGUUGGUGGGGUAGUGGCUUACCAAGGCUUUGACGGGUAGCCGGCCUGAGAGGGUGACCGGCCACAUGGGGACUGAGAUACGGCCCAGACUCCUACGGGAGGCAGCAGUGGGGAAUAUUGCACAAUGGGCGGAAGCCUGAUGCAGCAACUCCGCGUGCGGGAUGACGGCCUUCGGGUUGUAAACCGCUUUCGCCUGUGACGAAGCGUGAGUGACGGUAAUGGGUAAAGAAGCACCGGCUAACUACGUG
rnacentral:rRNA from 1 species